rnacentral:lncRNA from 1 species
ACCCUGACCUUUCAUAUAGAGAAACUUUUCUUCCCAUCAAACUUCUUGAGAUCAACCUUGAUGUUGCUUCCCAUAGCUGGAUCCUACCAAAAAUGCAGCAAUCCAUAAGAUAGAUCUUAGAAAAUAACUUGGAAGAGGUGUGCUGCAGAAUUUUUGCUUGAUGUUCUUCCUUGCUUUUGGCUUCCCCCUCCUUUCCAUGCAAAACCAGGCUUUGAUACCAACUAUUGGAGUCCUUCCCUAGAGGCAUGGAGAUCUGGAUCAAGUAGCGAAAACCACUAAGA